rnacentral:lncRNA from 1 species
GGAAUGGCUACUGCACAUGCCGGAUCACGAGUGAAAAAUAACCCCGUGCCUUCUACAGUGCUUCAAUGCUGCAGU